rnacentral:rRNA from 1 species
ACUCAAAGGAAUAGACGGGGGCCCGCACAAGCGGCGGAGCAUGCUGCUUAAUUCGAUGCGACGCGAAGAACCUUACCUGGGUUUGACAUGCAGGGUGAAACCGUGGAAACACGGCGCUCUCUGGAGCCUGCACAGGUGGUGCAUGGCUGUCGUCAGCUCGUGCCGUGAGGUGUUGCCUUAAGUGGCGCAACGAGCGCAACCCCUGUCCCUAGUUGCCAGCGGAUAAUGCCGGGAACUCUAGGGAGACUGCCGGUGCCAAACCGGAGGAAGGUGGGGAUGACGUCAAGUCAUCAUGCCCCUUAUAUCCAGGGCUGCAAGCAUGCUACAAUGCCCGGUACAGAGGGUUGCGAUCCCGCAAGGGGGAGCGAAUCCCAAAAAGCCGGGCUCAGUUCGGAUCGGGGUCUGCAACUCGACCCCGUGAAGUCGGAGUCGCUAGUAAUCGCGGAUCAGCAAUGCCGCGGUGAAUGCGUUCCCGGGCCUUGCACACACCGCCCGU